CUAGCAAGUUACAAUGGCCCUAAUCAGCCCCAGCUGGGGCCUCCAACUGCCUCUAUAGGCCAGGGAAAGCUAUAUAAGCUCGACUUGGGAAGAUACUUUCAGUCCUUGCUUGAUCUAUGUUAGAGGAGAGCUUCAUUUUAAUCCCAGCUACUGCUGUGAUUUAGAAAUAAUAGUGAGGAUAGCUAACAUAACUUGCCUAGAUAUUUAAUUAGCUAAGACUUUUUGAAAGGCACUUACAGAUAAUUCAGAAACAACUUCCACAGUAAUAGAAAUUGGGGUGGGAGGAAGGCUGAUAGUAUUGUUUUCAUGUCUACGUUAGAUACAAAAUAACCUACUCUUCACUAUAAGGGCUCUGAGGUUCCCCUCUCCCAAGAAGUUCAGGUGUUUUGGCUUAGGGUCUUUUAGAGACAGGACAACUGAGAGCAGUCCUCUUCCUCUGGUGAUUGUGGAGUGGCCUCUGUGCUGAUUUUACUGAAAGAAAUACCUAAAACAGGAACUAUCUUUGUAACUAAUAACCCCCUAAAUAUAUAUUAGAAAGGAAACUGUAUUUAUAAAGUUUAGUUUCCUGAGCACUUGGAUAUGCUUCUUGUGGCACAGCUGAAUCCAUUGAAAAGGCUACUCAGCUACUCCUUGGUACCUUCUGUCUGAAAGCUACCUUCCCUCCUCUCAGCCUUCAGAGAAAGGAGAUUUCUCAGAAGUAAUACAUGAGAUCCAAGAGAUUAAAAACAGGAUGCUGAAGUGCCUGAUGUGGAACAUCUGAAGUAAAGGAAGUCAUGAUUUUUACUGCUUUCAGUAACAUCAACAGCUCUGUGAAGAACGUACCUGCCCUAACCACAACACAGAUAGGAUCAAAUUUCUUAAACUUGUGCUUCACGGAAUCUAGUAUGUAAUCCAGUGGAUUCCAUUCUGUUCCAUGGAAUCUAGAGUUUCAUGGAAUCUCAGGUGUUUUUGAAUGAUUCCUGGCAGUAAGGCCCUCUUGCAACACGAACAUAUUCUCUCUUAAUAUAAAUAAACAUUAUUUGCAAAGGGUGAGGUAUGAUCAUAUACAGUUACCCCUGUUCAAGUAGACACCCCAUGUUCCUGGAAUUCAGUGGCAAAUAAUAGGAUAUUCUAGCAUAAUAGUAGAUAAGGUAAAUUAGUGAUUUCUUCUAUGACUGUACUUACCUGGGUAAUCCUCUUUGGAUUCACAGCUGACCCUUGUGGUUGCUGCCUUUCCAAAGGAGUUAGUCAUUCUUUUUCCAGUAAGGAUAGAUUUUCUGACAUCACUCAAUGUUGUGGUACAAAAAAAAAAAAAGCCUUUGCUCAUGCAGAAUUUUGCAGCUCUGAUAAGUUAAGUUCUGAGAUGUUAUAAAGAUAUUGUUUCAUGCCCCCGGUCACUGCUUGAAAGCAGUGUCUGAAAAUGCUUGAACAUGGUCCCAUGAGUUCAAUUAAAGUAAACGGUCUUGUCAUUGGGCUCCAUGUCCAUAAAAUGUGGACACUGGAGAUUUACUGCAUGAUAGGAAUACUGCAGAUACUCUUCUAACUUGCAGUCCGUUGACUUCUGUCUGUAGUUUCCCUUCAGAAGUGUUGUGGCAUUUAGAAAUUGCUAGCAUGGGAAGCUAAAAAUUAUAAUGGAUAACUACAAAUGCGGUUUGCUUCCUCUUGGAUUUUUGCAAAGUCUCCUGACCCAAAGCAUAUUUCAAGUAAUACACAGCCCUACACACAAGUGUACGCAGUAAGUAGCAUAUAAUAAAGUGUAAGGUUUGCAGAGACCAGGUGCAAAUGCAGUGUUACAACUUACACUAUAGUAAUCACGUCUGAUAUGAGAGACACUAAUUUUCAUCCACUUGCAUGAGAAAAAACUUUUCCUGAAUUUAUCCAUUUAUUGAUCUUAAAAGAAAGAUUUUUUUUAAACUUGAGUAAAGAGAAAAAUAUACAACCUUUGUUCAACUUCUUGAAACACGUGCUUAUUCAAGCAAAAACUGCAGUGUAAGAUGUAAAAAAUUCAGUUCCCAGUGUUCUUCCAGCUGUUUCUACUCUCCAGAUUUUUCUUUCACCCUCUCUAAUUCAUGUCUAUAAUCUAAAGUUCAACUUUGAAUCAUUUGCUUUUUCAAGUCUACAUCUGAUUCUGAAUUCUACCAAUUCUUGUAAGAUAUCUGGAUUUCCUGAGUGUUAACACGAGCCAGCAUUUUUCCUCACUUUUUCUUUAAAAUGUUGUUUGGCAUAUUCUUACAAAAAAAAAAAAGACAAAAAAGAAAAAAAAAGACAAAAGUCA